UGGCGGCGUGGNUAAGACAUGCAAGUCGAACGAGAGAAUUGCUAGCUUGCUAAUAAUUCUCUAGUGGCGCACGGGUGAGUAACACGUGAGUAACCUGCCCCCGAGAGCGGGAUAGCCCUGGGAAACUGGGAUUAAUACCGCAUAGUAUCGAAAGAUUAAAGCAGCAAUGCGCUUGGGGAUGGGCUCGCGGCCUAUUAGUUAGUUGGUGAGGUAACGGCUCACCAAGGCGAUGACGGGUAGCCGGUCUGAGAGGAUGUCCGGCCACACUGGAACUGAGACACGGUCCAGACACCUACGGGUGGCAGCAGUCGAGAAUCAUUCACAAUGGGGGAAACCCUGAUGGUGCGACGCCGCGUGGGGGAAUGAAGGUCUUCGGAUUGUAAACCCCUGUCAUGUGGGAGCAAAUUAAAAAGAUAGUACCACAAGAGGAAGAGACGGCUAACUCUGUGCCAGCAGCCGCGGUAAUACAGAGGUCUCAAGCGUUGUUCGGAAUCACUGGGCGUAAAGCGUGCGUAGGCUGUUUCGUAAGUCGUGUGUGAAAGGCGCGGGCUCAACCCGCGGACGGCACAUGAUACUGCGAGACUAGAGUAAUGGAGGGGGAACCGGAAUUCACGGUGUAGAAUCGAAU
rnacentral:rRNA from 1 species